rnacentral:rRNA from 1 species
GAUGAACGCUAGCGGCAGGCCUAAUACAUGCAAGUCGGACGGGAUUCAGGAGCUUGCUUCUGAUGAGAGUGGCGCACGGGUGCGUAGCACGUAUGUAACCUACCUUUAUCAGGGGGAUAGCCUCUCGAAAGAGAGAUUAAGCCCGCAUAAAAUCACAGCACAGCAUUGUGUAAUGAUCAAAUAUUUAUAGGAUAAAGAUGGGCAUGCGGAACAUUAGCUAGAUGGCGGGGUAACGGCCCACCAUGGCGACGAUGUUUAGGGGAUCUGAGAGGAUGGCCCCCCACACUGGUACUGAGACACGGACCAGACUCCUACGGGAGGCAGCAGUAAGGAAUAUUGGGCAAUGGGCGGAAGCCUGAACCAGCCAUGCCGCGUGCAGGAAGACGGCCCUACGGGUUGUAAACUGCUUUUAUACGGGAAUAAACCCAGAUACGUGUAUCUGGCUGAAUGUACUGUAAGAAUAAGGAUCGGCUAACUCCGUG